AUCCUCUGUCAUUUCUGCUGUUCUGCACAAUUUCAACUUUCUCCUCCUCUGCUAAACCCUUUUGCUGCUGCAUCAAAUUAAAGCUCUGAUCACAUCUCCAAAUUGGGUUCAAUCUCAUAAUUUUCAACUUCCUUCCUGCUCUCUCUUUCUCUCACCCGCUAUGGCUUUUGCCGCUAUAACAAUUUUGAUGGAUACACUCCACCAACACUACCUCCAACCCACUCCUCGUUUCCCUCUUCGCAACAAAACAAAGGUCAGAUUACUUUACAAACAUCUUUCUUCUUUGCAAACCUCUCUUGAACAAGAUUUCAAAGUGGGGGACUGUGAUGAAGCAAUGAAAGCUUUGGAAGCACAAAUGAGAGAUGUCUCCAUUGAACUAAGGUUCC